rnacentral:rRNA from 1 species
AGAGUUUGAUCAUGGCUCAGGGUGAACGCUGGCGGCGUGCUUGACACAUGCAAGUCGAACGGUAUGUGGCAACACAUAGAGUGGCGAACGGGUGAGUAACACGUGGGAACGUACCCUACGCAGGGGGAUAACUGACCGAAAGGACAGCUAAUACCGCAUAAGACCGAAAGGUGAAAGGUGCAACUGCACCGGCGAAGGAGCGGCCCGCGGACCAUCAGCUAGUUGGUGGGGUAAGAGCCUACCAAGGCAACGACGGAUAGCCGGCGUGAGAGCGUGGCCGGCCACAAGGACACUGAGAUACGGGUCCUACUCCUACGGGAGGCAGCAGUGCGGAAUUUUAGAUAAUGGAGGCAACUCUGAUCUAGCGACGCCGCGUGCAGGAAGAAGGUCUUCGGAUUGUAAACUGCUGUGGUAAGGGAAAAAUGCCAUGUAGAGUGGAAAGCUACAUGGAGGGAUGGUACUUUACUAGAAAGCCCCGGCUAACUACGUGCCAGCAGCCGCGGUAAUACGUAGGGGGCGAGCGUUACCCGGAAUCACUGGGCGUAAAGGGAGCGUAGGUGGCCUGACAUGUCAACUGUGAAAACCCGGAGCUCAACUCCGGACUUGCAGUUGAAACUGCCAGGCUUGAGGACGGUAGAGGAAGACGGAACUGCCAGUGUAGGGGUAAAAUCCUUAGAUAUUGGCAGGAACGCCGGUGACGAAGGUGGUUUUCUGGGCCGGUUCUGACACUGAUGCUCGAAAGCCAGGGGAGCGAACGGGAUUAGAUACCCCGGUAGUCCUGGCCCUAAACGAUGUUCACUAGGUGUGGGGAGCGGAAAGCUUUCCGUGCUAAAGCUAACGCAAUGAGUGAACCGCCUGGGGAGUACGCCCGCAAGGGUGAAACUCAAAGGAAUUGACGG